GAGAAGCUCGCGAAUCGUUGGUCGAUUGCCGGAGCGGUUCUCUUCAAGUUGGUAGAGUGGUUCUUUUCGUUCUAUAUUCUGUUCUUUAUCUUGUAAUUUGUAAAACUGUUUUUUAGUGGAACUGUUAAUCACUCUUUGUAGUGAUUAACGACUGGACGUAGAUUCUGUUGAAUCGAACCAGUAUAAAAAUACUUGUGUAAUUUUUUCUAUUCCCUACACUCAUUUUAUUUAACGCACAUCAACUGUUUGGUUAAUUUUCUGAAAGAAAAUUAUUUGUGUAAAACUGUGACCUAAUACGCUUUACGCUCUCUGAGUAUUAUUUCCGCUGCGCAAUACUCUUCGAAAAUUACCCC
rnacentral:lncRNA from 1 species